rnacentral:pre_miRNA from 1 species
CUUGUACUCCCUCCAUCCGAAAAUAUUUGUCAUUGAAAUGGAUGUAUCUAGAUGUAUUUUAGUUCUAGACACAUCCAUUUUGAUGACAAGUAAUUCCGGACAGAGGGAGUACUUG